rnacentral:rRNA from 1 species
CGCAUCUGUGCAUGCAGCAUAUCAAUAAGCGGAGGAAAAGAAACUAACAAGGAUUCCCCUAGUAACGGCGAGUGAAGCGGGAAGAGCUCAAAUUUGAAAUCUUAAAGGGUUUCCCUUUACGAAUUGUAGUUUAAAGAAGUGUUUUCUGUUGAGGUUUUGGUAAAAGUUCUUUGGAAUAGGACAUCAUAGAGGGUGAGAAUCCCGUAUUUGACCUUUACUUUCAACUUUGUGAUACACUUUCAAAGAGUCGGAUUGUUUGGGAAUGCAGUCCAAAAUGGGUGGUAAAUUUCAUCUAAAGCUAAAUAUUGGCGAGAGACCGAUAGCGAACAAGUACCGUGAGGGAAAGAUGAAAAGAACUUUGAAAAGAGAGUUAAACAGUACGUGAAAUUGUCAAAAGGGAAGCGUUUGACACCAGUGUUGUUUUUCUGAAAAUCAAUUAAAGAACUGUUUAUGCUAAGCUGUUUAGACUUUAUCAGCUAAUCUGUUUAGUUUUGAGCUUUUCUUUAAUGCACUUUUCAGUUAACAAGUCAACAUCAAUUUCUUUUGCUGUAAAAAAGCUUGAGGAAGGUGGCUUGAGAUUCGUCUUAAGUGUUUAUAGCCUCUUGCCUAUGCAGUCGGAGAGAUUGAGGUCUGCAGCGUAGAUCCUUCGGGGCUAAAUGCAUUUGUGCUAAGUUAUAGCAUUUUAUAGACAACUUGUUGACUAUGAUUUGUCUUGUAGCUUACUCGCUUAUGUUAUUUUACCUACGCUUAGGAUGUUGAACGCGCACAGAGUCUC